rnacentral:rRNA from 1 species
CCCCAGGUCAGGCGGGACUACCC